UAGAGUUGUAAAACUCCCUAAAACCCAUGUGAACAUACCUGUUGCCUCGGCGGGCCUACCCUAUAGCUACCCUGUAGCUACUGGGGGAGUGACCGCCGAAGGACUACCAAACUCUUUUAUCUCUGUAUCUCUGAGUAAAAAAACAAAUAAGUUA
rnacentral:misc_RNA from 1 species